UACGGGGGGGGCAAGCGUUAAUCGGAAUUACUGGGCGUAAAGCGUGCGCAGGCGGCUUUGCAAGACAGAUGUGAAAUCCCCGGGCUUAACCUGGGAACUGCAUUUGUGACUGCAUGGCUAGAGUGCGGCAGAGGGGGAUGGAAUUCCGCGUGUAGCAGUGAAAUGCGUAGAUAUGCGGAGGAACACCGAUGGCGAAGGCAAUCCCCUGGGCCUGCACUGACGCUCAUGCACGAAAGCGUGGGGAGCAAACAGG
rnacentral:rRNA from 1 species